rnacentral:rRNA from 1 species
UACGGGGGGAGCAAGCGUUGUUCGGAUUUACUGGGCGUAAAGGGCGCGUAGGCGGCUUGACAAGUCACUUGUGAAAUCUCCGGGCUUAACUCGGAACGGCCAAGUGAAACUGUCAUGCUAGAGUGCAGAAGGGGCAAUCGGAAUUCUUGGUGUAGCGGUGAAAUGCGUAGAUAUCAAGAGGAACACCUGAGGUGAAGACGGGUUGCUGGGCUGACACUGACGCUGAGGCGCGAAAGCCAGGGGAGCAAACGGG